ACUCAAUCAUAUACAAAACUCAUAGUUUCCUCGUAGAAGAGGAAGAGAACUCAAAAAGAAAAGAAAAGAAAAGAAAAAAAAAUAAGCCGGUGCCUGCAGUGUAUGAGAUUGUGAUAACACGAACAAACCCAUAUAACAACACGAACGAACCCAUAAGUUCGUUACAACUGUGAACACAUGCACUAUUUCAAAGAGAAAUUCACAGCAGAAUUAAUGAGUAGUGAAAUGGAUUCGAGAGAUAGCAGUGCGAACACAAAAUCUAAAGAAAUUGAACUAUAUCCCAAGAAGAGAAAGCGUCAUUCACAAGUAGCGGGGGUUAUUCCCACCAUGGAAGAAUCCAAGGCCUCCUCCUCUUCCGCAACACACGGUUCCAUAUCCGUGAUCGGGCGGCGACGCGCAAUGGAGGACGCCGUCAUGGUGGUUCCCGGCUUGGUGGCGGCGGGGCAGUGGUGUGGCGGUUAUGAUUUCUUCGCGGUUUACGACGGACACGGCGGGACGUUGGUGGCGAACGCUUGCCGCGACAGGCUGCACCUGCUGUUGGCGGAUGAAGUGAGGGAGAACGCGAAGAAGGGAUUGGAUUGGUACGAGGUGAUGUGUUCGUGUUUCAUGAAGAUGGACAAGGAGAUCGGAGUUGGUGGUAAGGCGCGCGAUGACGGUAGCGGAAACACCACAGGUUCAACGGCGGCGGUGGUUGUCGUUGGGAAGAAGGAGAUUGUGGUGGCGAAUUGCGGUGACUCGAGGGCGGUGUUGUGCCGUGGCGGUGUAGCCAUACCACUUUCGCGUGAUCAUAAGCCUGAUCGUUCAGAUGAAAGAGAGAGAAUAGAAGCUGCCGGUGGAAGAGUGAUUAAUUGGAACGGAAGUCGUGUUUUGGGAGUUCUUGCUACUUCCAGAUCCAUUGGGGAUCAUUCGAUGAAACCUUUUGUGAUAUCUGAGCCAGAGACGAUGGUGUACGAGCGAACAGAGUGUGAUGAGUUUGUGGUGGUAGCAAGCGACGGGUUAUGGGAUGUGGUGUCUAACAAGUUUGUUUGUGAGGUUGUACGAAGCUGCCUCCAUGGCCAAAUCAAGAGGAAUUUAAAAGAGGAGACUGUUGUAAGCAAUGCUACAGAAGCUGCAUCUUUGUUGGCAGAGUUGGCCAUGGCUCGUGGAAGCAAAGACAAUAUCAGUGUCAUAGUCAUCCAACUCAACAACACCACUUCAUCCUGAACUCCAUACGGGCUAAAGCCCAAACUACAAAUAAGGCUCAGAUAUUAAAUCCAAGAGCAGCGACAAACCGUGAACAGCAUCGAAAUGUGAGAAUGAGUAAGAAAAAAUUGUUCAUCCGCCAGCUAUACAAUUUCAAGGCUUGAGGCUAUAAAACUUGAAAUGGUAUAUCUUGACAUUUGGGGUGAGAUUCAGCACCAUAUUCUUCCCAUCUUUUUCAUGUUUUGAAGAUGUUGUCACUCUAAACACGACAAAAUGCCUUGUGGAGGCUGGGCUAUGACUGGGGCUGGGGCUGGGGCUGCACAGUGGCGGUGGCUGUGGCUGUGGCUGGGCUAGGGCUGGACGGUGGCUGUGGCUGUGGCUGAGGCUGAGGCUGUGGCUGGGGUGGACUGGGGCUGGAGUAAGGCUGUGGCUUUGGCUGUGGCUCGUCUGUGGCUGUGGCUCGUCUGGGGCUGUGGCUGGGCUGGGGCUGAGGCUGGGGCAGGGGCAGGGCUGGGGCUGGGGCUGGGCUGUGGCAGGACUGGGGCUGUGGCUGAGGCUGGGGCUGUGGCUGCACAGUGGCUGGGCUGUGGCUGUGACUGAGGCUGGGCUAGGACUGUGGUUGAGGCUGGACGGUGGCUGUGGCUGAGGCUGGGGCUGGGGUUGUGGCUGAGGCUGGGCUGGGGCUGAGCCUAGGCUGAGGCUAUGGCUGUGUCUGGGCUGUGGCUGUGGUACAAAAUCUGAUGGAAGGAUCAACACUUUGCGAGUCCAUGAUCUUCUACGGGAAAUCACCAUUUUGAAGUGUAAAGAACAAAAUGCAGCAUGGGCAGAAAAAGAUUCGGUGGCUUUCAGUGCAGAGCACAUUACCAUAUAGGCAGCAAUAUAGCUAUAGUAAACAAUACAAGAAAGAGGAAGAGCAGCACUCAAGACAAUAAGGCAAAAGAAAGAGGGAUUGAUCUUACGCUUAUGCCUUAAUUCCCACCAAACAUCAUCAAAAGAAAGAGCUGGAGAUUUACAAAUUACGACCUCAAGCUCAAGCCGUCCCCUCUCAGUUUUUAGUUUCUCAACUAUUUGAAGUUUUUUUUAUAUCUUCUUACAUCAAGCAUUUGUGCUGCAAGUGGUCUUCACAUAUCUAUAGCUAGAGAAAGCUUGCUUGAAUGGUUGA